UAUAAAUAUUUUACAUUCGUUUUAAAAAAAAUAGAAUCUUUUAUUAAAAAAUUAUACGCGUUCUUAUACGGCACUUGCGCCACUCAACUAUCAUUUCUUUUAUUUAUAUUCGGAAGACAAAUAGAGGAAUCGGGCGGUCUAGUUCGUGUUUUGGGAGGAACAAUGGCAGCGAGAAUUUUCGCUGAUUUUUUUUUUUUUUUUCCUUUCUUCUAAUCUGCUGUUGCAGUGCUAUGAUUACUAUCAUGUUUUUGUCAAGAGUUUUUGGGAGAACGCCAUUUGCUGCAGCUAAAUCCGAAGUAUCUGCUGCGACAGCUGCUUCUGCAGCGAGAAACCCUCUGAAAGAGUUCUUUGAGGCAGAUAGAAGCACAGAUGAUGACAAACAGGUCUAUGUUGGAAGGUUUCCAAACUACGACUGAAGUCAUGGGAUGAUCUUCAUAAGCUAUGGUAUGUUUUAUUAAAGGAGAAAAACAUGCUGAUGACUCAAUGCCAGAUGAGGUCCUUCGGGAUAGGUAUGAGAGCUGCUUUGCUUCACUCACAGAAUCUAGGGUUUCCUAAUCCGGAGUGGUUCCCAAGUUUCUCCUCCCAAAGAUAGCCUCAGCGAUGUGAGAUGAAGGUGAACUGUUUAAAACUGAUUCGCAAAUGGUUUUCCCUUAGCUUAAAUAUGCAUUUAUAAAUGGAUGUGUUGAAAGCAAGUUCAUGCCUUCUAUGAGAUAUGGUGCUUUUGCAUAUGUUAGGCAUUUUGUUCAACAGGAUUUACGAAGACCUUCAGAAAAUAUCGAUUGAAUUGUUUAAGUGUCAGGUAAUUGUUUGGUGUUGCUUAGUGCUUCUUGAGUAGAUCGCUUACUCUAAGAAUGAAAUUUUUUCCUGUAGGUUACGAACAAUUUGCCAUCAUUCAAGAAUGCUUUCUGACUUGAUUCUCUGGACUUACAUGGUGGGGUAGAAUGUUCUGUGUUAGAAUGGAACGAGCUGUAGCUCUGCAGAUUUUAGAGGGCACCCUUAAUUUCAUAGGUGCCAGCGAUUGGGAAACAUUUGACUCAUUAGCGCACUAUUACGUUAACAAAGAACUUGGUCUUUAAGUAGUUUUAUGUUCUGUUACUCAUAACAAAUAAAAGUACUUUUACAAUCUAUCAAGCUGAUGAUAGAGGCAAUAACUCUUUCCAACCAUUGUUC